rnacentral:lncRNA from 1 species
GUCCUCAGGUCCAGGCUGCUGUUAGGUCCAAGGGCUGCCUCAAAGGCCCCUCAACCCGCACCCCAGAGGCCCCGCGCCUCUUCCUUGGCAUUUACCUUCGUGGUAUGCCUACGUGUGCCAGGCUCUGGGCCGAAGGAGGAGAAGAACACCUACUGCGGUCCACUGGCGGCUUCCUCUGGGCAAGUUGCUUGCCUUAGCAUGCCUCAGUUUCCCCAUCCGUAUAGGGCGGUUGUGUAGAUUAAAUGGAUAUUUAUAAGGCGCUUGUUUUAGUCCUCUUUUUCCUUUCCCUCCCUCUCAAACCCUACUCCUCCCAAACCUAGAUCUCAGACCCUCCUGCACCCACUAAGCCAGCUCCUCCCCAGACCUCUCUGGCCUUAUGUAUCCUCAUGUCCCCUUCUCUGCAGAUUUCCUUCAUCCUCAGGACAUGUGUUCCUUCAUCUAUCUGGCAAACAUUUUCUGACUUCCUCCUCCAUGCCCUCUUGUCCUGAAUGAAGAUAGAGAAAUGUACUAGCUACGGCCUCCUGCCUCUGGGAUCUCCUAUUUUGGGGGACCUAAGGAAGCAAAGACACACAUUGUAGUAAGACUGGCCACAGUGGAGACCACUGUGGGUGCAUUGGAAUUUAAAGGGGACUGCUUAGUGACAUCACAGAAAUCUUCCCAGUGGAGAUGGCGUUUGGCUGGGUGGAAGUGUGAGCAGAGACUGAG